UACGUAGGGGGCGAGCGUUUGUCCGGAAUUAUUGGGCGUAAAGCGCGCGCAGGCGGUUUUUUAAGUUCGUGGUGAAAGACCGGGGCUCAACCCCGGAGCGUCCGCGAAGACUGGAAGACUGGAGUGUCGGAGAGGAGUGCGGAAUACCUGGUGUAGCGGUGGAAUGCGUAGAGAUCAGGUGGAACACCGAUGGCGAAGGCAGCACUCUGGCCGAAUACUGACGCUGAGGCGCGAAAGCGUGGGGAGCGAACGGG
rnacentral:rRNA from 1 species